GACGUAGGGCGCGAGCGUUGUCCGGAUUUAUUGGGCGUAAAGAGCUCGUAGGUGGCCAACUAAGUCAGACGUGAAAUCCCUCGGCUUAACCGGGGAACUGCGUCUGAUACUGGAUGGCUUGAGUUCGGGAGAGGGAUGCGGAAUUCCAGGUGUAGCGGUGAAAUGCGUAGAUAUCUGGAGGAACACCGGUGGCGAAGGCGGCAUCCUGGACCGACACUGACGCUGAGGAGCGAAAGCCAGGGGAGCAAACGGG
rnacentral:rRNA from 1 species